UGUGUGUUAGUGGAAGCGUCUGGAAAGGCGCGCGAUACAGGGUGACAGCCCCGUACACAAAAAUGCACAUGCUGUGAGCUCGAUGAGUAGGGCGGGACACGUGGUAUCCUGUCUGAAUAUGGGGGGACCAUCCUCCAAGGCUAAAUACUCCUGACUGACCGAUAGUGAACCAGUACCGUGAGGGAAAGGCGAAAAGAACCCCGGCGAGGGGAGUGAAAAAGAACCUGAAACCGUGUACGUACAAGCAGUGGGAGCACGCUUAGGCGUGUGACUGCGUACCUUUUGUAUAAUGGGUCAGCGACUUAUAUUCUGUAGCAAGGUUAACCGAAUAGGGGAGCCGAAGGGAAACCGAGUCUUAACUGGGCGUUAAGUUGCAGGGUAUAGACCCGAAACCCGGUGAUCUAGCCAUGGGCAGGUUGAAGGUUGGGUAACACUAACUGGAGGACCGAACCGACUAAUGUUGAAAAAUUAGCGGAUGACUUGUGGCUGGGGGUGAAAGGCCAAUCAAACCGGGAGAUAGCUGGUUCUCCCCGAAAGCUAUUUAGGUAGCGCCUCGUGAAUUCAUCUCCGGGGGUAGAGCACUGUUUCGGCAAGGGGGUCAUCCCGACUUACCAACCCGAUGCAAACUGCGAAUACCGGAGAAUGUUAUCACGGGAGACACACGGCGGGUGCUAACGUCCGUCGUGAAGAGGGAAACAACCCAGACCGCCAGCUAAGGUCCCAAAGUCAUGGUUAAGUGGGAAACGAUGUGGGAAGGCCCAGACAGCCAGGAUGUUGGCUUAGAAGCAGCCAUCAUUUAAAGAAAGCGUAAUAGCUCACUGGUCGAGUCGGCCUGCGCGGAAGAUGUAACGGGGCUAAACCAUGCACCGAAGCUGCGGCAGCGACACUAUGUGUUGUUGGGUAGGGGAGCGUUCUGUAAGCCUGUGAAGGUGUGCUGUGAGGCAUGCUGGAGGUAUCAGAAGUGCGAAUGCUGACAUAAGUAACGAUAAAGCGGGUGAAAAGCCCGCUCGCCGGAAGACCAAGGGUUCCUGUCCAACGUUAAUCGGGGCAGGGUGAGUCGACCCCUAAGGCGAGGCCGAAAGGCGUAGUCGAUGGGAAACAGGUUAAUAUUCCUGUACUUGGUGUUACUGCGAAGGGGGGACGGAGAAGGCUAUGUUGGCCGGGCGACGGUUGUCCCGGUUUAAGCGUGUAGGCUGGUUUUCCAGGCAAAUCCGGAAAAUCAAGGCUGAGGCGUGAUGACGAGGCACUACGGUGCUGAAGCAACAAAUGCCCUGCUUCCAGGAAAAGCCUCUAAGCAUCAGGUAACAUCAAAUCGUACCCCAAACCGACACAGGUGGUCAGGUAGAGAAUACCAAGGCGCUUGAGAGAACUCGGGUGAAGGAACUAGGCAAAAUGGUGCCGUAACUUCGGGAGAAGG
rnacentral:rRNA from 1 species